CCUACGGUAGGCAGCAGUGGGGAAUAUUGCACAAUGGGGGGAACCCUGAUGCAGCGACGCCGCGUGGGUGAGGAAGUACUUCGGUAUGUAAAGCCCUAUCAGCCGGGAAGAAAAAGACGGUACCUUACUAAGAAGCCCCGGCUAACUACGUGCCAGCAGCCGCGGUAAUACGGAGGGGGCAAGCGUUAUCCGGAUUUACGGGGGGUAUCGGGAGUGUAGACGGCGUGCCAAGUCUGGUGGGAAAGGCCGGGGCUCAACCCCGGGCCUGCAUUGGAAACUGGCAUGCUGGAGUGCCGGAGGGGCAAGCGGAAUGCGUGGUGUAGCGGUGAAAUGCGUAGAUAUUAGGAAGAACACCGAUGGCGAAGGCGGCUUGCUGGACGGUAACUGACGUUGAGGCUCGAAAGCGUGGGGAGCGAACAGGAUUAGAUACCCUGGUAGUC
rnacentral:rRNA from 1 species